CAAUAGCGUAUAUUUAAGUUGUUGCAGUUAAAAAGCUCGUAGUUGGAUUUCGGAUGGGAUUUGCCGGUCCGUCGUUACGAUGUGCACUGGCCAGUCCUAUCUUGUUGUCGGGGACUAGCUCCUUGGAUUCACUUCCUGGGACUAGGAGCUGACGAGGUUACUUUGAGUAAAUUAGAGUGCUCAAAGCAAGCCUACGCUCUGAAUACAUUAGCAUGGAAUAACACGAUAGGACUCUGGCUUAUCUUGUUGGUCUGUGAGACCAGAGUAAUGAUUAAGAGGGACAGUCGGGGACAUUCGUAUUUCAUUGUCAGAGGUGAAAUUCUUGGAUUUAUGAAAGACGAACUUCUGCGAAAGCAUUUGUCAAGGAUGUUUUCGUUAA
rnacentral:rRNA from 1 species